AAAUUAGAAAGUAAUGGUAUUUGAAAAGAAAGAAAAUAUGACUAACUGUGAGAUUUUGAUUGGUCAAAAAGAGUGCAACAAGUGAAAGAGUUUGUGUAUCUGGGAACCUUGUUCACUAGGGACGGUAAGCAUGAUAAAGACAUUGAAAGGAGAGUGAAUGCUGGAAAUCGCGUUCGCAAAAAGCACGGUUGGCUGUGCAUAGAGGGGUGUUGGUGCCUAGACUCAUGUAUGGUAGCGAAAGUUGGGUAUGGCAGAAGAGGCAUCAGAGCCAAGUGAAUGCAGUGGAAAUGAGAGCGUUGAGAAGUGUGUGUGGUGUGAGAUUACAAGAUAGAAUUAGGAACAGUGUGAUAAGGGAAAAGUGU